ACAAACUUGGUCAUUUAGAGGAAGUAAAAGUCGUAACAAGGUUUCCGUAGGUGAGUGACUGACGUCCCCUCGCUCCCCCCCCGUGUUCGACAGCUCGCUAACCCGUCAAUCUCAGGUGAACCUGCGGAAGGAUCAUUACCGAGUCCUGGGGUCUCUCGACCCCUGCUCCCAUCCCGUGUGUAGAUCGAACCCGUUGCUUUGGCGAGCCUGCCUCCCGUGCUACCGGUCCGUUGGGACUGGCCAGCGCUCGCCAGAGGCGCUUUCAAACCCGUCCAACCUGAUUCUCUGAGCGGAAGCGAAACGAAGCAAAAACUUUCAACAACGGAUCUCUUGGUUCUGGCAUCGAUGAAGAACGCAGC
rnacentral:misc_RNA from 1 species